CAGCACCUCAAGUGGUCAGGAUGAUUAUUGGGCCUAAAGCAUCCGUAGCCGGCUCUGUAAGUUUUCGGUUAAAUCUGUACGCUCAACGUACAGGCUGCCGGGAAUACUGCAGCGCUAGGGAGUGGGAGAGGUAGACGGUACUCGGUAGGAAGGGGUAAAAUCCUUUGAUCUAUUGAUGACCACCUGUGGCGAAGGCGGUCUACCAGAACACGUCCGACGGUGAGGGAUGAAAGCUGGGGGAGCAAACCGGAUUAGAUACCCGCGUAGUCC
rnacentral:rRNA from 1 species